rnacentral:rRNA from 1 species
CUAAAAACCUAGCUCAACCCCAAUUUUCCUUUGUAAUAUAAACUAAAGUAUUCUUCUAAUCUAGUACAGACGAUUGAAAAAUUUCUACGUAGCGAUAAACUGUACCGUAAGGGAAUGGUGAAAUACAUGAAACAUCUUUAAGCACUACAAAGUAGAGACUAAUCCUCGUACCUUUUGCAUCAUGGUUUAACUAGUCUAAUCAGGCAAAAAGUCUUAAAGUCUGCCACCCCGAAGCCAAGUGAGCUAUCUAAGAACAGCCCUCAGAGCCAACCCGUCCCUGUUGCAAAAGGGUGGGAAGAUUCUUAGAUAGAAGUGAAAAGCCUAACGAACUUAGCGAUAGCUGGUUGCUCAAGAAAAGAAUCUUAGUUCAACCUAAAGCCCCCAACUGUUUCUGUAAACUAACCUCUGGCUUUAGAGCAAUUCUAAUAGGGCACAGCCUGUUAGAAGAAGAAUACAGCCUAACCUUAUGGGUAAACACAAAGCCCAAGCAAUUAAGUGGGCCUAAUAGCAGCCACCUUAAAAUAAAACGUCCAAGCCAAACUGCUAACGCUUUAAAUAACCAAUUCCCCCUGAACCCUUUUACACUACUGAGCUAUUCUAUGUCCUCAUAGAAAUAUUUAUGUUAAAACUAGUAAUAAGAAAAUAGAAUUUCUCUUAAAUGCAAAUGUAAAUCAGAUUUGACCCCCCACUGAGCCUUAACAGCCCCCAAUAAAUACUAAAAACACAAGAAAACUCCUAUUUAUCCCACUGUUAACCUGACACAAGAGCAUUACAAGAAAGAUUAGAAGAGAAAGAAGGAACUCGGCAAACCUAAUUCCGCCUGUUUACCAAAAACAUCGCCUUUUGAAAUAUAUAAGAGGUCCAGCCUGCCCAGUGACUCAUGUUUAACGGCCGCGGUAUCCUAACCGCGCAAAGGUAGCACAAGUAAUUGUCUUUUAAUUGUAGAAGUGAAUGAAAGGCACCACGAGGAUUAAGCUGUCUCCUUUCUCCAAUCAAUGAAACUAAUCUUCUCGUGAAAAAGCGAGAAUAACCCCAUAAGACGAAAAGACCCUAUGGAGCUUUAAACAACUAACACCUGCUCACAGUACCCCGAGCACCCUGAUUACAAGUUUUUGGUUGGGGCGACCACGGAGCACAACACACCCCCCGCGUUGAAGACACUUCGUAAAUAAAUAAGCAACAGCUUUAUGAAUCAAUAAAUUGACACAAUUGACCCAAUAUUUUGAUCAACGAACCCAGUUACCCUAGGGAUAACAGCGCCAUCCGCUUCAAGAGCACACAUCGACAAGCGGGCUUACGACCUCGAUGUUGGAUCCGGGUAACCAAGUGGAGUAACUUCUACUUAAGGUUCGUUUGUUCAACGAUUAAAACCCGACGUGAUCUGAGUUCAGACCGGAGUAAUCCAGGUCGGUUUCUAUCUAUGUUAAAGCAUUUUUAAGUACGAAAGGAAAGAAAAAGCACGGCCAAUUUAACUUAUACGCCGUCUUAACUAAGUUAUGAUUAUCCCUUAAUAAUAUACUUAUUUCACAUUUACCUCUAGAACUGAGAUA